UUCAGAUCCAAAUUCAAUAGCAACAGAAAUUAAAAAAAUAAAAAAAAAGAAAGAAUUUUUUUUCUGAAGAACAAAAAGAAGAGGGAUUCGAGACUGAAGACGACAAAUUCGAAGACGCUUCUAUCGAUCCCACCACCCUAUGCUCUCCACCUUCCCAACCUCUCACAACUGACCUCACUCCUCCUACCCGCAUCGAUCCCCAUGGAAAGUGGUGAGCUCCAGGAAGCAAAACAGAGAAUCAAAGAAGCAUAACAAGAAGAAGAAUAGAUCUGAAUCUGGAAGGAGCAAUACGGCAAGAAGGCAGAACGGAGGCGCAACACUGCAGGAGGCAGAACGGAGGCGUGGCGUUGUGAGAGGAAGAACGCAUGCCGGCGCUGCGAGAGAAAGAGCGCGACGGAGAAGGAGUCGGCGCCGAAGAAGAGUCAGAGAACAUGGUUGUCGUCGAGGAGUAAGGAUUGAGGUCGGUGAUGGAAAGGGAGAAGAAGGUGGAGAAGGAGAUGAGGAAGGUGAGGCCAACAUUAAUGGAGGAAGGGUUGAGGUUGGUGAUGGAAAGGGAGAAGCUAAGAAGGUGGAGAAGGAGGUGGGGGCGG
rnacentral:lncRNA from 1 species